UUCCUCAAUGCUUCAUUCCAAUCCCAACCGUCUCUCCACUAGAAGGGUCCUGAAAAGAACAUCCAUCAUCAGUAAAGAUGACUCUAAGUUUAGUCUGCUCCAUCAAUCUACUCACAGAGAGCAGAUUGUGUUUAAACUCAGCAUGUUGAGGAGAAGAAACCCUAAUUAGUUCCUGAUGUACUCGGGGAAUCAGUUACUCAUAUUCUGUUGUGUAAAAAGUCUACUUAAAUAAGAAACAGAAGUUUGGUUUGCAGUCUUUGCUUCGCGUAGAGAUCUGUCGCAUGCUCAUAAUUGUCAUCCUGAUUUGUAUUGAUAGUUGUUACAUAAUUUAACUAAUGGUUGAUAUUACUAGUUAUUGUAACUGAACUUGAUCAACAAGACUAUGUAUUGGAGCCUUGAUAGUCAAUAGAAAAUAACAGGAAAGGAGGUUGACCGGAAGUGUUGUUGUGAAUGAAUCCCAGACAUCACACUACUUUGACAACACACUUCAAAGUACAAAAUAAUCAAUUAGCUACAAUAGCUUUACACUUUUUUGGUGCAAAAUCAUAAGUUUUCCUUUUCCAAACCCAUAUCAAAUUAUCUAUGCAAACAGCUUCAAAUUAUUUCAUUUUGAUAUUACAAAUAUGUGUUAUAUGAACUGAAUAACUUGAUCUUUUUCUUCAUUAUUUCGGCUCCAUUUUGAUUAUUGCAAAUGGUUUUUGUUAGAAAUUGAAAUCCCAGUAUGAUUAAUGUAGUUUUGUUUCUUAUUUUCUGUAUUUUGUACUUAAUUAUGCUUGUUUAAUGAAGUAUUUGUUUUCCGAGAGUUUGAAUUAAUAUGAAAAGUCAACGAUUUGUGGGGUUUAUAGAAUCGGUUUACAAAGAAAUGGAUUACCUUGGACAGAAUUUGCAGUUUAUGUUUAUUUGUAAAGUCGUUUAUCCUGAUGCUUGAUUUAUUGGGUUUGUCGGGAAUUGUUAAUGAAAGAAAUUCAUGUAGCAAGCAGGAAAUGUGUUAAACCAUCACCACAACAGUGUAAUAGAGGAGGUUGUUUUUUCGCAUAUCUGAUAUGUGUGGAAACACACAUAUCAACUAAAAGACAAAUAGCUAAAAGACAAAAAAGGAAGUACCAUUCAUGUAAAAUAAAGUACCAUUCUGUAAAAAAAAAGUUUCAUUCUGUAAAAAAAAGUACCAUUUGUGUUUAAAAAAGUACCAUUUAAUUUCUUUUUUGUCUUUUUUCCUAUUUUGUCUUUUAAUCUGAUAUGUAUUUACCCAUACAUAUCUGAUAUGCGUUUGUACUUCCUCGCAAUAGAGGGGCAGCCAAUCAAUGCCUAUUCAAUUCCAACCAGUCAUAUGAUGCUUGGGAAUUCGCGACCUUUCUUCCCCGUCCCUCUAUUCGUCUAUUUGAAAUCAAAUUCUUAGCUGCACAGAUUCUCAAACGAUGUACCCUUUAUAGUAAGUAUAUGGUUCAUAUUUAGAGUAUAUUAGUAUAUGGUUCAUCAGGCCGCAAGUGUUGUUCUGUCAAAUUCUUAGGUGCACAAAUUCUCAAACGUUGUACCCUUUAGAGUAAGUAUAUGGUUCAUAUAUUUAUGUCAAAAAUUUUCACACAAACCAAGUAUCAAGUACAACUUUGUCAUAACUCAUAAAUCUCUAUUAUAUAAUCCAGCUCCUGGGGUUGUUUUAGUAACUUAACUUUUUGUGUCCACCAUGUAAAAGACUAAAAUAGCCUCAAAUCGUUAACUUUGAACCCUAAGCAGCUUCACUCGUCUUCGCUGCAUCACUCAUCUUUCUCUCUCCUCCCUUCACUCACCACCCUCUCUCUCCUCCGCCUACUCCUCUUUACUCCCCUCAAGUCGAGAGACUUCUGUGUCUUCUCCGACGAUGGCGACGGCGAUGGUCAGUAUGAAAUGGAUGAUCUCAUGAUCAAACUUCAGUUCUCUCUCAUCUAUCUCUCUCCCCUCUUUCGAUUGAUCUUUCUGCAUUUCUCAAGGUUAGUUUUAAUUAUUCGUCGAUCGAUCUUCCUUGAAUAUACGAUUCUAUUUAACGACUUUUAUGAUUUCCUGCAUCGUUUAUUUUACUCAGUUUGUCGAUUUUUUUUAUCCUUCAAUUUCACGAUUCAAUGAUUUUGAUAAAUGUACUCCAUGUUCGGCGAUUGGCCUUCACACGACCCUCACAACUCCGCCCUUCUGAUCCUGCAAAUGCCUCCUUUGGUAGAGAUCCAAGACAGGUGAUGUGUCAAGCCUACGAAUUGUUCAGACACAGAGGGAGAGAAAGAAAUACAGAGGGAGAUAGAUCUUACUUUGGAGCUUAAUGUGUACUACGACGAAGCGAGUUGCGGUCGGUUUGUUGCUUGGGUCGUGCUCAUGGAACUGAUAACUUACUAUUGACUAGAGUUUUCGACCUUAUGGUUGAAGAAAAAACUCUUGGCUCUCUAAGUAAACCUUUGAAAACUAUUGUUUCAGCUUAAUUUUUCUUGAAAAUUAUGUUUUUAUCUGAAUAAUUUGUGGGUUGUUAUAGUUGAUGAUGAUAAUUUACUUAAUCUUAGCGGAUUUCAGUGAGAUCAAUGAUCUGAUUGUUACAAACUGAA